UACGGAGGGUGCAAGCGUUGUCCGGAAUCACUGGGCGUAAAGGGCGCGUAGGCGGCCUUCUAAGUCGAACGUGAAAUCCCCGGGCUCAACCCGGGAACUGCGUCCGAUACUGGAAGGCUUGAAUCCGGGAGAGGGAUGCGGAAUUCCAGGUGUAGCGGUGAAAUGCGUAGAUAUCUGGAGGAACACCGGUGGCGAAGGCGGCAUCCUGGACCGGCAUUGACGCUGAGGCGCGAAAGCCAGGGGAGCAAACGGG
rnacentral:rRNA from 1 species